rnacentral:miRNA from 1 species
CUUGUCAUAGCAAUUACCACACUAUUGUUAUUCUUGUGUGUGUGUGUGUGUGUGUGUGUGUGUGUGUGUGUAUAUAUAUAUACAUAUAUAUAUAUAUAUAUAUAUAUAUAUAUAUAC